rnacentral:rRNA from 1 species
UCGAGAAUUUUUCUCAAUGGGGGAAACCCUGAAGGAGCGACGCCGCGUGGGGGAUGAAGGGCUUCGGCCCGUAAACCCCUGUCAUUUGCGAACAAACCUCAUGCAAUAACAUUGUAUGAGUUGAUUGUAGUGAAAGAGGAAGGGACGGCUAACUCUGUGCCAGCAGCCGCGGUAAUACAGAGGUCCCAAGCGUUGUUCGGAUUCACUGGGCGUAAAGGGUGCGCAGGUGGGCUGGCAAGUUCGAUGUGAAAGCCCCGGGCUUAACCCGGGAAUGGCAUUGGAAACUGCUGGUCUGGAGGAUCGGAGGGGGGACUGGAAUUCUUGGUGUAGCAGUGAAAUGCGUAGAUAUCAAGAGGAACACCAGUGGCGAAGGCGAGUCCCUGGACGAUACCUGACACUGAGGCACGAAAGCCAAGGGAGCAAACAGG